AACGAACGCUGGCGGCAUGCCUAACACAUGCAAGUCGAACGAGACCUUCGGGUCUAGUGGCGCACGGGUGCGUAACGCGUGGGAACCUGCCCUUAGGUUCGGAAUAACUCCCCGAAAGGGGUGCUAAUACCGGAUAAUGUCUUCGGACCAAAGAUUUAUCGCCUUUGGAUGGGCCCGCGUUGGAUUAGCUAGUUGGUAGGGUAAAAGCCUACCAAGGCGACGAUCCAUAGCUGGUUUGAGAGGAUGAUCAGCCACACUGGGACUGAGACACGGCCCAGACUCCUACGGGAGGCAGCAGUGGGGAAUAUUGGAAAAUGGGCGAAAGCAUGAUCCAGCAAUGCCGCGUGAGUGAUGAAGGCCUUAGGGUUGUAAAGCUCUUUUACCCGGGAUGAUAAUGACAGUACCGGGAGAAUAAGCUCCGGCUAACUCCGUG
rnacentral:rRNA from 1 species